AAAUAAAAAAAUAACAAAAAACAAAUAUGUUACACAAAAACAAACGACAACCACUGAAUUACAGGCCCCUGACUUGGGACAGGCACAAAUAGUGCAACUAUAUUAUAUGAUACUUGAAUGUAAGCAAAUCAUUUGAUAUAUAGGUGGAGUCCAUUGGGCCACUUUACCUCCUCCUGUUUGAUAACUUUGAAACGGAUGAGAUCCCCACCCCUCAACCAUAUACCUUCAUGUAUGAGACUAAAUAACUAAUCAAAUGAAAUAUAGGGGAAGUCCCUAGGGUCACUCCACCCCCUCAUAUUUUAGAACUUGGAAACAGUCGAGAUCCCCACCCCUAAACCAUAUUUAUUCACGUAUGGGACAAUAUAUAUAUAAUCAAAUGAAAUAU
rnacentral:lncRNA from 1 species